GUCUUUUAGAAAAAUCAUCUGAGGGAAGGAAUUUUUAGAAAUAAAACUGGAAACAUCCAGAAUCUUGAUGGUGUGCCAAACCAAAUGUCAACUGGAGCGCGACCAAAAACUCAACACUUAGGAUUCAUUCAGGAAGUUACUUGAGCUGGGGCCAGACGGAGGAGUAGACCAUCCAACUCCUGACAUUUUCCCGGGUUGUGUGUCCAGAACUUGGUGACCCAAUUCUUCUCUGUUGGCCUAUAUUCAGCUGAACAAGUCAUCAGACUUACAAGGCUCUGAGCUCCUGGGUCCAUGCCUCCUCAGGAUCCCUGCUCCCUCGUAGCUGCAGCUCUGGAAUCUUCUCUGAGUUCCUUCUCCUCAGACCCGGAAGGUGCUCUCUGACAAACGAAGCAAGGAGAGAGCAGGAAACCCAUCACUUUCUAUGCCUGCUGAAGUCAAGAGCUCUCUUAGCUCAUCUCUGAGUGGGACAUCUCUUCCCACCUCCCCUGUGUUUCUUCAAAACAUCGGCCUCACCACUGCUAAAUUGUGUGCCAGUGGAGCAGCUUUCCAGGAUGCCUGGGCCUUAUAAGGAUCGAGCAGAAUGUCAUAGCAGAAAUGCUUUCCCCGGGGAGGUGAAGGGCUGUCUAUGGAGAGUGAACAAUCAGGUGAAAUCUCUAAAGCGUGGAGUCUGAAGUGAAUCAGUCCAGUUCUGACAAGUAAGAGAGGAGAUGGAAAAGGCGUAAGAGCUAGAGUGGAUCAGUCUCAGCCUGCUAGCUGUCUUCUUUAUGCCUUCUGUUCUGGAGAAUGAUAGGAGCUUACUCUGAGAAUUUUCUAAGUUUAAAUUAAAAGCUGCAGUUGUUUAUUCACGUAAAUUAUUUCUAAUCAGAUGAAUGAUAUAAUAAAUAUUUCUAUGUCCCAACAUUUUGAACAAUUCAUAUAUUUCGAGUCAGAGGUAUUUACAUGAAAUAGCUGAAGUCACAGAUGUUGUAGUGUAGCAAAUUAAAGAGCUUCUCCUUUUAAA